rnacentral:rRNA from 1 species
GAUGAACGCUGGCGGCGUGCCUAAUACAUGCAAGUCGAGCGAACGGACGAGAAGCUUGCUUCUCUGAUGCUAGCGGCGGACGGGUGAGUAACACGUGGAUAACCUACCUAUAAGACUGGGAUAACUUCGGGAAACCGGAGCUAAUACCGGAUAAUAUUUUGUACCGCAUGGUUCAAAAGUGAAAGACGGUCUUGCUGUCACUUAUAGAUGGAUCCGCGCUGCAUUAGCUAGUUGGUAAGGUAACGGCUUACCAAGGCAACGAUGCAUAGCCGACCUGAGAGGGUGAUCGGCCAAACUGGAACUGAGACACGGUCCAGACUCCUACGGGAGGCAGCAGUAGGGAAUCUUCCGCAAUGGGCGAAAGCCUGACGGAGCAACGCCGCGUGGGUGAUGAAGGUCUUCGGAUCGUAAAACUCUGUUAUUAGGGAAGAACAUAUGUGUAAGUAACUGUGCACAUCUUGACGGUACCUAAUCAGAAAGCCACGGCUAACUACGUG